AACAAGAAACAACAGGCUUCAUGUCAACAUGCAGCAGAAAGUUCAAGACAAACAGAAUUAAAGCUAAAAACUCCUUCAGCUCUGGGACAAAAUGAUGGCGAAAAAACUCAAUCAGUGGUGAAAUGAAAGCAAACUGGAAACUGAUUUUAAAGCCCUUUUUGCACUCCAGGGUCCGGCCUGGCUCGGCCCAGUUCGGUUCAACCUGGUCCCAUUGGUGUCAUGGCCCUGGUCGUUUUGCAUUGAGGAGGAUACAUCACGUACAUCGACCCGUUGCUAAAGCUACCGAGGCGAUCUCCCCAGUGACAGCAGAACAGUUUUCUUCUUGGGUCUCCCGUCCUGCUUUUUCUCAUGAGCGAGGAAGCUGAGGAAAACAUUUACCUCAGCUUUACAUUUAACGAAAAAAUUAAUAAAUAAAUAAAUCUCAUCUUAAUGUCGUCUCUGAGCUGGACUCGCAGCCAGCUGAACUACCGCUGCGGCAGCAGGAUUUCCCGGCUGGAACGAUGCCAGAUGCAGAAAUCCCCUCUUUCACAGCCUAAACGACUUCCGAUUGGUUCAUUUGGAGAAAUGUUAUUUACAUUUACCAUUAAAAUCUUUGGCUGAAGAGGCAAAUGUAAUUGCAGUGUAGGGUAAGAAUAGAUUAUGACGGGAAUUUAUUGAUGCAGCAUAUUGAAAUGACAGCCAUCAGCGCUCCUCUGAUCCAGAGAUCUGGUCUUUGUCCCGCCCCAACAGCCAAUGAACCAAUCAACAGCUAACUCCAAACCGGCCUGGUCUGGCUGGCCCGAUUGGAACCACAGCUCUCUGGGCUCCAGGGAACCGGGCGGUACCGGGCUGGAAGCGCUAAUGCAAAAACGAUAGCCAGGCCGACCCGGGUCCAGCUGUGCAGUACGAGUGCACGAG